rnacentral:rRNA from 1 species
CAAGUCGAACGAUGAACCUUAGCUUGCUAGGGGGAUUAGUGGCGAACGGGUGAGUAAUAUAUCGGAACGUACCUUGUAAUGGGGGAUAACUAGUCGAAAGAUUAGCUAAUACCGCAUACGCCCUGAGGGGGAAAGUAGGGGAUCUUCGGACCUUACGUUAUAAGAGCGGCCGAUAUCUGAUUAGCUAGUUGGUGGGGUAAUGGCCUACCAAGGCUUCGAUCAGUAGCUGGUCUGAGAGGACGACCAGCCACACUGGAACUGAGACACGGUCCAGACUCCUACGGGAGGCAGCAGUGGGGAAUUUUGGACAAUGGGCGCAAGCCUGAUCCAGCCAUUCCGCGUGAGUGAAGAAGGCCUUCGGGUUGUAAAGCUCUUUCGCAAGGGAAGAAAACUUACAUUCUAAUAAAGUGUGAGGCUGACGGUACCUUGAUAAGAAGCACCGGCUAACUACGUGCCAGCAGCCGCGGUAAUACGUAGGGUGCGAGCGUUAAUCGGAAUUACUGGGCGUAAAGCGUGCGCAGGCGGUUUGGCAAGUCAGAUGUGAAAUCCCCGAGCUCAACUUGGGAACUGCGUUUGAAACUGCCAGACUAGAAUAUGUCAGAGGGGGGUAGAAUUCCACGUGUAGCAGUGAAAUGCGUAGAGAUGUGGAGGAAUACCAAUGGCGAAGGCAGCCCCCUGGGAUAAUAUUGACGCUCAUGCACGAAAGCGUGGGGAGCAAACAGGAUUAGAUACCCUGGUAGUCCACGCCCUAAACGAUGUCUACUAGUUGUUGGUGGAGUAAAAUCCAUGAGUAACGCAGCUAACGCGUGAAGUAGACCGCCUGGGGAGUACGGUCGCAAGAUUAAAACUCAAAGGAAUUGACGG